GUGUCAGCAGCCGCGGUAAGACGAACCGUGCGAACGUUAUUCGGAAUCACUGGGCUUAAAGCGCGUGUAGGCGGCCUGGAGCGUCAGCGGCUGAAAUCCCCCGGCUCAACCGGGGAACGGGCCCUGAAACGUCCAGGCUGGAGGGGGGUAGGGGGAGCCGGAACUCACGGUGGAGCGGUGAAAUGCGUUGAGAUCGUGAGGAACGCCCGUGGCGAAAGCGGGCUCCUGGACCCCACCUGACGCUGAGACGCGAAAGCUAGGGGAGCGAACGGGAUUAGAAACCCUCGUAGUCC
rnacentral:rRNA from 1 species